AACGAACGCUGGCGGCAGGCUUAACACAUGCAAGUCGAGCGCCCCGCAAGGGGAGCGGCAGACGGGUGAGUAACGCGUGGGAAUCUACCCAUCCCUACGGAAUAGCUCCGGGAAACUGGAAUUAAUACCGUAUACGCCCUACGGGGGAAAGAUUUAUCUGGGAUGGAUGAGCCCGCGUUGGAUUAGCUAGUUGGUGGGGUAAAGGCCUACCAAGGCGACGAUCCAUAGCUGGUCUGAGAGGAUGAUCAGCCACAUUGGGACUGAGACACGGCCCAAACUCCUACGGGAGGCAGCAGUGGGGAAUAUUGGACAAUGGGGGCAACCCUGAUCCAGCCAUGCCGCGUGAGUGAUGAAGGCCUUAGGGUUGUAAAGCUCUUUCACCGGGGAAGAUAAUGACGGUACCCGGAGAAGAAGCCCCGGCUAACUUCGUGCCAGCCGCCGCCGAAACAC
rnacentral:rRNA from 1 species